rnacentral:rRNA from 1 species
CCUACGGGAGGCAGCAGUGGGGAAUAUUGCACAAUGGGGGAAACCCUGAUGCAGCGACGCCGCGUGAGCGAUGAAGUAUUUCGGUAUGUAAAGCUCUAUCAGCAGGGAAGAAAAUGACGGUACCUGACUAAGAAGCCCCGGCUAACUACGUGCCAGCAGCCGCGGUAAUACGUAGGGGGCAAGCGUUAUCCGGAUUUACUGGGUGGAAAGGGAGCGUAGACGGUCCUGCAAGCCAGAUGUGAAAGCCCGGGGCUCAACCCCGGGAGUGCAUUUGGAACUGGAAGGCUAGAGUGUCGGAGAGGCAGGCGGAAUUCCUAGUGUAGCGGUGAAAUGCGUAGAUAUUAGGAGGAACACCAGUGGCGAAGGCGGCCUGCUGGACGAUGACUGACGUUGAGGCUCGAAAGCGUGGGGAGCAAACAGGAUUAGAUACCCGGGUAGUC